UACGAAGGGGGCUAGCGUUGCUCGGAAUCACUGGGCGUAAAGCGCACGUAGGCGGCUUUCUAAGUCAGGGGUGAAAUCCUGGAGCUCAACUCCAGAACUGCCUUUGAUACUGGAGAGCUUGAGUCCGGGAGAGGUGAGUGGAACUCCGAGUGUAGAGGUGAAAUUCGUAGAUAUUCGGAAGAACACCAGUGGCGAAGGCGGCUCACUGGCCCGGUACUGGCGCUGAUGUGCGAAAGCGUGGGGAGCAAACAGG
rnacentral:rRNA from 1 species